GAUGAACGCUGGCGGCGUGCCUAAUACAUGCAAGUCGAGCGAACGGACGAGAAGCUUGCUUCUCUGAUGUUAGCCGCGGACGGGUGAGUAACACGUGGAUAACCUACCUAUAAGACUGGGAUAACUUCGGGAAACCGGAGCUAAUACCGGAUAAUAUUUUGAACCGCAUGGUUCAAAAGUGAAAGACGGUCUUGCUGUCACUUAUAGAUGGAUCCGCGCUGCAUUAGCUAGUUGGUAAGGUAACGGCUUACCAAGGCAACGAUGCAUAGCCGACCUGGGAGGGGGGUCGGCCAGACUGGAACUGAGACGCGGUCCAGACUCCGACGGGAGGCAGCAGUAGGGAAUCUUCCGCAAUGGGCGAAAGCCUGACGGAGCAACGCCGCGUGAGUGAUGAAGGUCUUCGGAUCGUAAAACUCUGUUAUUAGGGAAGAACAUAUGUGUAAGUAACUGUGCACAUCUUGACGGUACCUAAUCAGAAAGCCACGGCUAACUACGUG
rnacentral:rRNA from 1 species